rnacentral:rRNA from 1 species
GUGGCUUCCGGAGCUAACGCGUUAAGUCGACCGCCUGGGGAGUACGGCCGCAAGGUUAAAACUCAAAUGAAUUGACGGGGGCCCGCACAAGCGGUGGAGCAUGUGGUUUAAUUCGAUGCAACGCGAAGAACCUUACCUACUCUUGACAUCCAGAGAACUUAGCAGAGAUGCUU